CAAAAGCCAACAGAUGCAGACACUGGGAAGCUGAGGAGGAGCAAAGUGAUAUGGGGAAAUAAACAGGGCCACAGCUCAGCGGGAGGAGAGUGGAGCUGUUCAGCAGGUCUCAAGACGCCGGCAAAAUCACGGCUACUGUAGACAAAGGUCACCCCAAGGUUAUAAACCCGUAAGUCCACGUGCAACAAGAGCUGCAGGGUCAUGGAGGCCUGGGUGGAAACUGGCCGAAGACACGGCAGAUGAGCAGAGCAGACAAGGAGAGGAGAUGGAAUGGAGGCAGAUCUCAGAAAACGCUGGCAGCUACACUCCUGAAGAAACCUCCGGAAAAUUGCUAAGCCGAGAACAUUGUGUUUUAGCAUACAAAGACUAAAGGAAUAUUGUUCCCACAAGCCCUGCUUGAGGAAAUCACCAGGGAACAAAUGUAGUCAACCAAAAGAUGAUUGAGAAAACAACAGCAAAAGAGCUGACGGUCAUUUCAAAGAGGCUGCAAAACCAAGAGCUCUUAACGCUGUGAGCAAAGAUGGAAGUUCUCUCUAGGAUGCCAUGGCACUCGAUGGUGGUAUGUUUUCCUGGGGAGAUAUAAGACAUAGGUGUUAUAUGACAUAGUAAUCUAUGAUUGUUGCCAUGGGAGAGUUUUAAAGAUUAACCAAAGUAAAAAGAAAAAACAAAUUGUAAACUUUGCACUGUUCUGAGCAGCAUGAUAAAAUCUCAUGCCACCCCACCUGGGAUGUGAAACAGCCCUUCGUGCAGCAUAGCCACCAGGUAUACACUAGGUUGCCCGUUACCCAUUAAGUAGCUGUCUUGGUUACCAGAUCAACUGUCCUGGUAUCUCAGGGCUUGCGUGCAAGUAACCAUUAUUUUACUUAAUAAAUGGCCCCAAAGCACAAGAGUAGUGAUACUGGCAUAUUACUAUAGUUGUUCUAUUUUAUGAUUAUUGUUGUUAAUCUCUUACGGUGCCUAAUUUAUAAACUAAACUUCAUAAUAGGUGUGUAUGUAUAGGACAAAACACAAUAUAUAUAGGGUUUGGUACUAUCUGCAGUGUCAGGCAUCCGCUGGGGAUCUGGGAAAGUAUCUUCUGUGGAUAAGGGGGACUGCUGUACUCUCUUGGCCAGGGUUACAGGCAUCGCACAGCCUCUACAGACGGCAAUUUGGCAUUAUCUAUUAAAACUAAAAAUAUUUAUACUCUUUAACCCAAAAAUUCCAUUCCUAGGAAUUAAUCGUACAGGUAUACUUUCAUGUGCAGAUGGACUUAUAUACAAGGAUAUAUACUGCAGCACUGUUUAAAUUGCAAUAGACUAGAAAUCACCUAAAUUCCAACAAUACAGGAUUGAUCCAAUGAAUUA
rnacentral:lncRNA from 1 species